UGUAAACAUCCUUCACUCUCAGCUGUGAGAUGGAAGCACACUGAGAGGAGGGGUGUUGACACC
rnacentral:pre_miRNA from 1 species